rnacentral:lncRNA from 8 species
GUUGUUUUAUUUAGUCUGAACUGGUGUUACAUGCCUGACAGAAAUACUCUGAAGCUGUGUAUCCGGAUGGAGAACAAUGUUGACGGCACUGUCACUGAAUAUUACUCCCGAUAUACACGGCGCAUCAUUACUUUGAGUGUCUAUUCUUAAGUCGUUGAAGCCUCCUUGGUACAUAGAAGUUUGAAGAUUGCACAUUAGCUAAUAUUUUUGAUACUAUCUUAAUCAUCUGAAGGCUGCAACAAUGAUCCAGCAGAACAAUAACAACAACUACCCAUGCCUGGAGAUGUCUGGCUCCCCCAGGGAGGUGCUGCAGAAGUGCCAAAGAAGCUAUCUUCCCUUCACAGGACGCUUGGAGCUUGGGGACAUGCCCUUAGUCAAGGGCCUUCGGGCCUGGGCUGCGUGCUCCAAGAACCGCAGGAGGGCAGCACCUUCCCCCAGGUCUCAAGGAACGUGCCCCAGGCCUGCAGAUGUCUACCCAGUGGGACAGUGGGGCAGGCUGGGUUAUGGUCUGGGACUACCGCUGGACUCCAACUAUGCCUCCAACCCUAGACAGACAGGCCUGGGGGCACUGGUGACUGUGGCAACAUUGAAGGCCUCUGAGGGAGGUGGUCAAACUCAGACACGUCUGUUCCUCAAGACGGAGGGUGGAAGGUGCCUCUACUCCACGGGCAGCCCAAGACCCUGCACUCAAGGUCUGGCCCCUCAGUACCCCUCCACGCUGGUGGGCAGCUGGCUGACGGAUAAAGUGGGAGGGGUCAGGGACUCCUCCAUGGUUGGGAAAAUGGGGGUGCGGGAUAUGGGAGGGGCCUCAGAAUUGUACCAAGUCAAAUCGAGGUCAGCCCGGAGGUGGAGGACGUCCUGCAAGCCUGUGGUUCCCAUCCAGGGGAGAACACUCCAGAGCACGGAGGAUUCUGGCGAGCGCACCCUGGAAGGGAGCCAGGAAAGCAGGGACAAAGGGGAGUUUCCCACAACUGGUCAGGACACUCCGAGUGGAAAACAAGACCGAGGGAGUACUAGAAGCCCCAAAUGCAGUCACGCUCAGACCAAGACCUGCACCCAGUAUCACGGGCGGCGAGGAGGACAGGGGAGCAGCGGGGGUCAGAGGGAAGCUGCUUCUGUAUGUGAGCAGGAUCGGUCGAGCCGCGUUGUGGAGGGGAUUAAAGACAAAGUGAAGGAUGGGACUGGUCUCACCCGGUCAAAGCCCUGUGACUCCUCCCUGCCUCCAGACAAUGCUGACCCAGAAAACUGCAGCAGUGACGUUGGGGACCGGGGAAAGCCAGACAGCCCACACGCACAGGAGGAGCUGCAUCCUGAAACCUCCCUGAACAAGGAGCACUUCCAGGACAAACUAUGUGAUACAGACAUGCAUACUGGAGGCAAGGAUGUAGCCAGUGGUAUCAUGAGACAUGUGGAAGACUUUGAUGGCAUGGUGGGUGCUGUGAUUGGGUUUGUGGAUCAUAUCAAGUCCGCAGAGUGUGAUUCUGAGAGUCUAGGGGGGAUAGCUGAGGGGGAGCUGCCCAACAGGUGGAUCGAUGUUCAAACCUCAGAGAGACACUGCUGCUCUGAGAGAGGCUGCCUCAAAGCCUGCUCCAUUCAACUACCCAGCCCAGCAGGGGGCAGCAUUUCAACUGCUACUGAUGAGACUGGCUAUGGUCAGAUAAAUCAGGAAAGGAAAUCAGAUAGUCAAUACAAUAAGCUUUGUGUGAAAUGUCUGCCAGAAGAAAAAUAUCCUGUGGCAGUGGAUAAAGAAGUAUUACAGAAAUAUGUGCAUGGCCUCUGUGAGGGAGAGGAGGGGAUCCAGUCAACAGCAUCAGAAAUUAGGGAACUCUGUGUGGAGCAUGGAGAGAUACUGCCUGAGGUCAGGAGCACAGACGAUGAGGCCAGGCUGGUAGGGGGAGACAUCACAUCCCAGAGAACUGAGCGAGGGCCUCACUGGGCAACGGAGGAGCAUGAGUCCGAGGAGACAUGUAGGACGGAAGAGAGGUGUUUUUCAGAUUUACCAGCUACCCUGACUGAGGACGUAGGAGGAGGAGGGUGGAGCGAGGCAGGGACUGGGCAGUUUAAUUCCAUUUUACGAGCCUCUGCUGCUGCUGGCCCUGCUACCUCUGUCACACACUCGCCGCCUAAUCCGGCCUCCUCAGGAGCCAUGGCAACAGGCCUCCCUGCUCCAAAUGGGGGGCAGACAGACGCUGGAGGUGGGGCUCUGGUGCCUCUGCUACGGAGCCCAGGGGAGCAGGAGUGGAAGAGGGGUUGGGACGAGAGCAAGGUGGCCGCCGACGAGGGGUUCCUGGAUGGGGGGCCGGAGGCGGAGGAUGACUUUGGGCUUUUCAUGCAGGCAGAGGAGCAGCCGCCCUGGGACGACCGCUUCACUGCAUCACCCCUAGUGCCUUCUGGGAAAAGUGAGAGUGUUGCACUUGAAAACCAUUCCAUCACCAACGAGUCUACCCAUUGGACCUCAGGUUGGACAGACGGCUCAUUCCAACAAUCAGAGGACGCCUGGACAGCCUUCCCAAAGGAUUCAGAGGGAGAGGGGCAAGACACAAGAGGACAGUGGUGGCCCACAAAUGCUGUGGAGAAGACAAGGGGCAGAUUCUCUGCCAAGCAAAAUGUGAACAAUGUGUUUGUGGAGUCCUUCCCGUCACUGUCUACUCCCCUGUAUGAUUGUGAUGCUGUUCCCAUGCUCAGCCAGCUCCUCAGAGGCAUCUUGGAUCAUGAAAGCUCUGCAGAGGAUCAUGGGUAAGUGGGUCAAGAGACCACAAUGAUAUUUUAUUAAAAUCCAGCUCAGGGAAUGAUUUGGAAGUUUGAUCCUGUAUUAGCAGAAACUCCGACUCAUGUUUCUUCUCAGCUCGGAUGUUAAGUCCGUUAGAAGCAUAAUCUGGAAUCUUUACAGUUCUACAAUUCAUGAAAUUGGAAUGAUAAGGAGCAUUCUGAGAUGGUUGUUAUAUAUAUUGCCAUCUAGUGGAAGAAAUGAUGACCUUCACAAUAACACCAGAGAUAGCAUGAAAUGUCACCACCACCCAACAACGACCCUGCUGUUUGAACCCACAACUAGAGAUAAACUGCAUAUCAGACCAUAUUUCAUGCUCUGAAUUGGUAUUGGUUGAAUGAUAGAUUCACAAUGAUUUAAUAGGCUGUGGUGUUAUUCAUAACUGUGGCGCUCACUUCUUCCAUUCAUUUACUUUGCGUAUCUUUGUUUGUCCUUGUAGCUUACUUGAUGGGUUCCAUGACCUCAACAAGAUGUUUGGCUUUAAAUAUAAGAGGGCAAAUGCUGUUUCCCGUGAACGGCUUCUACAGUCUCUACAUUUGGGCCAGUGUAACACGGUGAGUAUUUACAUCUGUAGUCGGUGUAAUGCAUGGUUAAAUGUGAUAAUAGGCCUACUCUGUUUCCUGUUAUGGGGCAGAAAUGAUACAGCCUAAUCUUAUGUUACAGCCUUAACUUAAAAAGCUAUACUAUCACCAUGACAAAUGCUACUGAAUGUAUUAUGGGUCAUUUGUCAUAGUAUGACAUGGUCAUUUGACUGUUAUCUCCACUGGCACUCGGAUAACAAGCAAAUGAGAUCACGACUACAGUUCAUGUAAAUUUUAGAAGAGUCAUCAUUUGUUCACCUCUGCAGGAAAAUAUGACUGGGCACCGAGCAGCCAACUACAGUCCCUCUCUUGGCCUCCCCUCGUCCAGUCAGCAUGCACAGGCCUGUGGGAAGAGACGGUUAUCUUAUGAUGUCAACAAGAGCAUCAUGGAAUAACCAAGAUUUCAACUUUCCCUGACUGUCAACAACACAUUGUCUUUACUAUGCCCUUCUAUGCCAAACCAGUAAUGGGUCACGGUCUUCAUCUCAAUGGGAGAAAUAACGAAACAUUUCACAAGAUUCAGAACUCAGAGGAUGAUCUCUCCUUGGACUGACUGGACCAGCUGACUAUAUGGUGACCCUUAAUAAUGCCCUGUUUUGCUUUACAUUCCCUGGAAUUGGAUCAAUAGAUGCAUACCUGUGACAAAUUGGACAAAAUUAAGCACAAAUUAUUAUUUUUGUCUCACAGAUAUUCCUAAAAUACAUGCAAAUGUUUACAUUCUAAUUAAUCACAUUCUUAGAGACUCAAUGAAAUAUGAAAGUAAUUUAUGUUUGUCAGGAGAAGUGGAUGUCUAUACCCCUACCCCCCCUUCGUUCACUCCCACCCUCUUUCCCACACACACUGACUAGGACACAAACACACACUAUCCUCUUCCAUCAUGUGGUCUGGCUCAACUGUGCCAGUGACAACUCUGGAGCAGAAUAUAUACUCUUGGUUUAGCUGACAUUGGAGCUCACAUGGAUCACAGCUCCUUUUCUUAUUAUCUCAGUAAAUAAUGACCAUGUUAACUGAAAUGAUUACCUUUUAAAUUGGGGUGUUUCUGGCUGUCAGAAUUACAUUGUUUUGUACAGGCAAAGAGAAAGUAUUAUUUUACCAGUACAAGUUUGUUUUAGAUCACAAAAAAUGCAAUCAUGUCAUAUUAAGAUUCCAUUUUUUUUUGGGGGGGGGGCUGUUUGAUGUUUGUCAUUUGUACAUAAUUCCAAGGAAAAAGACAGAUUUUCUGAGUUGUUCAAACUGAUUAAAAAAAAUAGAUUGUCAACUUGUUAAUUGAUGUAAUAAAAUGACACGGUGAUUGCUGUUUUCCAUCCUCAAAGCUUUUGCUAAUGUUAUUACUAUAUCAUUUCUAGAAGUACCUAAACGGUCAUCUUAUUUGGGUGUUUGACACAAUACUCACUAUAAACUAAACUAAAAUGGCAACAAAAUAGUACCCUACAGGCUACAUGUGUCAGUCAAUUAGAAUGGUGUACGGCGCUAGAAUAAAGUAUCACGGGUCAAAGGGAAACCACACUGGCAAAUCAACACUUACAAGUGACAAAAUGCUAUUCUCAGUUUAUGCCCACUCUAACCAUAUGGCCGAGUAUGUCCCCUACCAGAAUGGCUUAUUUGUGACUUCUCCAAUGAUGAUAACAGGUAAGGGGCCCAAGGGGAGGUCAUGUACUAGAUGCUGGUCAGGCCCGGAUUACCGAGCGAGCACGUUCCCCGAGGCCCCUAACCUCCAGUGGGCCCCCAACCGACUGGAGGGAAAUUUGCAUUAAAACUGCACAAUUUUCUCUCAGCCUCAUGGCAAAAUGUGAAGAAUAGCAUGAGAUGAGCUAUAAAACAGCACAUUUUUCUCUUUGUCCCAUGGCACAAUAUGUAGAAUUGCAGGAAAUUUGCUUUAAAACUGCAAAAUGACCUCUCAGCCAAAUGAUAAAAUGUGUACAAUAGCAUAAAAUUGCACAUUUUUUAUCUGCCCCAUGGCAAAAUGUGUUGAAAUGCAGAAAGUUAGCUGUUUUCCUAAAAGAAAAUCUGUUUUGGGGGCCCCGGGGUUUCAAAUGCAACAGUCCAGGGCUGUCUGUGGUGCUGAAUUGGUUAACGGGAACUUGCUGAGUCAGAGGCUCUGUUUUCACCAGAUAAUGUGGCAUUGAUCGUGUUAUUGUGAAAAUAUGUGAGUGGUCUUAGAUUACCUUUUGGCACGCUAUCAAAUAAAGUCAACAGGGUGU